UACGUAGGGGGCUAGCGUUAUCCGGAAUUACUGGGCGUAAAGGGUGCGUAGGUGGUUUCUUAAGUCAGAGGUGAAAGGCUACGGCUCAACCGUAGUAAGCCUUUGAAACUGGGGAACUUGAGUGCAGGAGAGGAGAGUGGAAUUCCUAGUGUAGCGGUGAAAUGCGUAGAUAUUAGGAGGAACACCAGUUGCGAAGGCGGCUCUCUGGACUGCAACUGACACUGAGGCACGAAAGCGUGGGGAGCAAACAGG
rnacentral:rRNA from 1 species